CAGCUGCACCCUCAGGUGCCGAGGAGCAGUCUCGUGCCAAUCUGGUGAUGGCACUGGUGAGGGGCUUUGUGGCUGCACUCGUCUUUGGCCUCGGAGUCUUCUUUGUCAUCGAUGCCCGCAGCCUCUGGAUACGGAGAGAUGACAACUGUGUCUCGCUGUCCCCAGGCUGCUCCUGCCUCAUGGCACCAAUGGCAGUGGCUCUGUGAGAGGUAGAUUGUGUUUUUGCAGUGGAAAUUUACAGUAUUUCUGUAUGUAGCCCAGGAUAAGUUGCCUUUCCCAAAGAAAGUUGCUGAACAGAGUAAAGUUGAGAGUGGGGAGUUACGACCUAGGUAGAAUUGGCACAGGCACUAGGGUAAAGGUGAGAGUCAAAACGAGUGACAGUAUUGUCCUCGUAUCGCUAUAAAAAGUCCAGAACAUACCCAAAGACAAUGGGUUGGUAGCAGACUUGGUAUGGAAUUGUAACAGAGGUAUGGAAGUGUAACGGAGCUCUGGAAGUGUAACAUAGCAACAGCGUCAGAAGACUGUGAGCCUGAGAUGCUCAACCAAUGAGUGCCAGGAGAGGCUUUACCUGCGUCGGACCCAGGGUGCAUAACAGAAUGGAUUUCACCUACUGUUUGCAUAAUAUCUCCCUGAUCAGUAGGGGGCAUGCGCCCAUUACUGCAAUAAGGAACAAACUGCUCUUCAAAGAGACCUUGGCCUGACUAGAAACUGUUGAUCUUGAGCGUGUUUCUCACACCCUUUCCCCUUUUUGAUGCAGGUGAACCCCUCAAGAGUGCAAAGGCCAAUGAGGCCUGCGUGAUAUGACCUCAAAUCCCAAGCCGCCCCUUCACCCCUUGUCACGGAGUUAUCUAGAUUGAUCUGUGCCCGUCACAGGGAGGCAGUAGGCUCACG